ACGGAAGGCAGCAGUGGGGAAUAUUGCACAAUGGGCGAAAGCCUGAUGCAGCGACGCCGCGUGAGUGAAGAAGUAUCUCGGUAUGUAAAGCUCUAUCAGCAGGGAAGAAAAUGACGGUACCUGACUAAGAAGCCCCGGCUAACUACGUGCCAGCAGCCGCGGUAAUACGUAGGGGGCAAGCGUUAUCCGGAUUUACUGGGUGUAAAAGGAGCGUAGACGGUUUGGCAAGUCUGAAGUGAAAUGCGGGGGCUCAACUCCUGAACUGCUUUGGAAACUGUCGAACUAGAGUGCAGGAGAGGUAAGUGGAAUUCCUAGUGUAGCGGUGAAAUGCGUAGAUAUUAGGAGGAACACCAGUGGCGAAGGCGGCUUACUGGACUGUAACUGACGUUGAGGCUCGAAAGCGUGGGGAGCAAACAGGAUUAGAUACCCUGGUA
rnacentral:rRNA from 1 species